rnacentral:rRNA from 1 species
CGUUGUUCGGAAUUACUGGGCGUAAAGGGUUUGUAGGUGGCUUGCUAAGUCAGACGUGAAAUCCCUCAGCUUAGCUGGGGAACUGCGUCUGAUACUGGCGAGCUUGAGUGCAGGAGAGGAACGCGGAAUUCCAGGUGUAGCGGUGAAAUGCGUAGAUAUCUGGAGGAACACCGGUGGCGAAGGCGGCGUUCUGGACUGUAACUGACACUGAGAAACGAAAGCCAGGGUAGCAAACGGG